rnacentral:misc_RNA from 1 species
GUUUGUACUCCAAUGCGAAGAUAAUGAUGGCGCUAUGCUACCACGGAUUAGAAAUUUGAAAUUGUGGAGGCUUGAUCAUAUAAAGCAUAUCUGGAAGCCACACCCCCAAAUGGACCUUGUUCUUCAAAAUCUCCAGACUAUGAAUGUAUUUUAUUGUUUUGAUUUGAUCAGUUUAGCACCAUCCUCUUCCUCUUUCCAAAACCUAACUACUCUAAAAGUUCAAUCUUGCAAAGUAUUGAAACAUUUGGUAACACCAUCAGCAGCCAAAAGUAUGGUGCAACUUGUGACAAUGGAGAUUAGAGCUUGCGAAAUGUUGACCGAAAUAGUAGUCGAUGAACAAAAUGGAACACCAG